GAUGAACGCUGGCGGCGUGCAUAAUACAUGCAAGUCGAGCGAACAGACGAGGAGCUUGCUCCUCUGACGUUAGCGGCGGACGGGUGAGUAACACGUGGAUAACCUACCUAUAAGACUGGGAUAACUUCGGGAAACCGGAGCUAAUACCGGAUAAUAUAUUGAACCGCAUGGUUCAAUAGUGAAAGACGGUUUUGCUGUCACUUAUAGAUGGAUCCGCGCCGCAUUAGCUAGUUGGUAAGGUAACGGCUUACCAAGGCAACGAUGCGUAGCCGACCUGAGAGGGUGAUCGGCCACACUGGAACUGAGACACGGUCCAGACUCCUACGGGAGGCAGCAGUAGGGAAUCUUCCGCAAUGGGCGAAAGCCUGACGGAGCAACGCCGCGUGAGUGAUGAAGGUCUUCGGAUCGUAAAACUCUGUUAUUAGGGAAGAACAAAUGUGUAAGUAACUAUGCACGUCUUGACGGUACCUAAUCAGAAAGCCACGGCUAACUACGUG
rnacentral:rRNA from 1 species